rnacentral:sRNA from 1 species
GAGACUUUGAGCCCCCCCAGAUGGACGC